AGGAGGAAAAAAGCAGAAGGAAAAAUCUUGUUCUGUGCAAGAUAUAUUACGAAAGAAAGAGGAAAAAAUAGAAGGAAAAAUUAUUCACUUAUUUCUAACCUAGAGGGGAGAAAAAGGGCGAACAGAAGGGGCUUUGUCAAUUAAUGUUGAAGGAGAGUGAAGCUUUGUUUUAUUUCCACCAAAUACAAAGGCAAUCAGAUUUUGAUCGUUCAGAGGCUCUACGCAAAGGGAAGACAUUAGUUUGAUUGUUCGUGGCACCCGCUCAGCAUUGAGGUAGGUUACGGUCUACUUUAGUUAGACUCUGAUUAGAGAAUCGUAUGUAGUUGUAGAAAGUGACGGGGAUAGCAUAUAGGCCUUCGGGCAUGAAGUGGAGGUGGAUUCCAAUUAGGUUGGCUCUGUCGGUUGUUAUGUGGGCUUGUCGCCUUAUGCGUUAUUUUCUGUGAUUAUCACCUGUUUGUAUCUCUGUCAUAUACUAGCUCCCUCAUCAUAUGAAAAGGAAUGAUAACAUUAUUAUGACUUGUAUUUGUUGAUUGUU